UCCUCUCUGUCUCUCUCUUCGAGCGAUAACAUUAAUAAUCAUCCAUUGGAUGUAAACAAACCAGGCAACGAGAUCGUGCACGUGCCAGUCGAGGAACUUUGCACCGUGUUGCAUUAAUAAAUGCGAACAAAGAAGCCAGCGGACGCGUUGAAACCAAGACUGGUGUCCCUCGUGAAUUGCUGUCAAUUUUCAGCCAAUGAUAACCCUGAUCGAUUAGAGUUUUGGGCAUUUUUUGAUAAGCGAUGGGAAUUACUUUCUUCGAGGUGAUGCUAGCGUUGAAAACUUUACCGACAGUCCCUGGAAAAAUCCCUAGAAACGAGAACAUAAAUUACGUCAUUACUAACCACAAAUUUAGUUCCUCAUUUUUUCUGUAGGGCGCAGUUCAUUCGUUUAGAAUGCUCGACAGUGCAAUCAUUCGCAGUUCGUAUAAUGUAAUUAAAUUGUGUAUUAGGUAUCAGAAAUACAAGACACAGAAGACAAAGUCAUUGAAGACAUUGAAGAGAAGACCAGAGUCAUGACUUUUGACAUCAUAUCCAUAUUGUCUUCAGAAAUGCUAUCAAAGCAAUUCGAAGUUUCUACCAAUGCUUGUGAUUGGUCGUUCCAUUAUGGCGUCCUCCUAUUUAGACCAAUCAGAUUCAUCGUUAAAUGUGUGAUCCGCGGGGAGUGGUUGAGUGCAACAGUCCUCUUCGAAGCUUCGUUCGUUUGUCACGUGUCUGCAAGAGAUAUCGGCCGAUACCGGAAUAUACCGACAAAUGCCGAGCAGCGCCGACCGGUCUUCGUCGGAAAGGAAGGUCUCGCCAUUUCUCUCGCGAAAGUCGAAGUGACAAGACGUGUUCAGAACAUCCUUGCGCAUAAGUAGUAGAUACUUGAUGGAUAUUGAAAGGACGCCAUGCCACCUGAUAUAAGUUUUAAA